GUUUGUAGCUCAGUGGUAGAGCACUUGCCUAGCACAUGUGAGACUCUGGGUUCAAUCCUCAGCAACACA
rnacentral:tRNA from 1 species